rnacentral:lncRNA from 1 species
ACACAAAUUCUGCAAUGGCCCCAGAACACAAGGAAUGUCAAAUAGGAUGAUAUAGUCGCUUUGCUAGGCAUCCAUACUGUGGAAAAGCUGGAGCAAACUCUGGAGUUAUGUUGACAACAUGACUUGAAUGAAAAGGAAGUAUUUCAAAAAUAAUAUGACAACUGUGUGACUACAAUGAGAAGAUAUACUUAUGACAUGGCUUAAAAUAUACAAGUUAAACAUUACAUGGGCGAUCAAGAUUUGUUGGAUAUCCUGUUUUUUCAUAAUCCAGAAAGCCUUUUUGUCUUUCCGUGUCAAUGGAAGUGUCGUCCAGAUCAUUGUCUAUAUGGAAGCAGUUGCCAAGAAGCAGGAGAAGGAAUCUUUAUUUUUCACGGGAACAGAGGUGUUUACCAUGAUGAUAAGCAACCAGCAUUUAGAGCUGUUUAUGAAGCACUGAGAAAUUGUUCUUUUAAGAUGACAAUGUUUAUUCAUUAAUAAAACCUUUAGAAUUGGAACUACAAAAAACAGUGCAUACAUACCGUGGAAAAAUUUACUAAAUAUUUAUCAAACAAUUAGCAAAAACAUAAGAGAUCGCUAUGUCAGAUCACCAAAGGAAAGGUGA